rnacentral:rRNA from 1 species
AAAAAAGGUAAGCUACUAAGAGCGAAUGGUGGAUGCCUUGACUGGUAAAGGCGAUGAAGGACGUACUAGACUGCGAUAAGCUACGGGGAGCUGUCAAGAAGCUUUGAUCCGUAGAUUUCCGAAUGGGGCAACCCAAUGUAUAGAGAUAUACAUUACCUAUAUAGGAGCGAACGAGGGGAAUUGAAACAUCUUAGUACCCUCAGGAAAAGAAAUCAAUAGAGAUUGCGUCAGUAGCGGCGAGCGAAAGCGCAAGAGGGCAAACCCAGUGCUUGCACUGGGGGUUGUAGGACUGCAAUGUGCAAGAGCUGAGUUUAGCAGAACAUUCUGGAAAGUAUAGCCAUAGAGGGUGAUAGUCCCGUAUGCGAAAAACAAAGCUUAGCUAGCAGUAUCCUGAGUAGGGCGGGACACGAGGAAUCCUGUCUGAAUCCGGGUCGACCACGAUCCAACCCUAAAUACUAAUACCAGAUCGAUAGUGCACAAGUACCGUGAGGGAAAGGUGAAAAGAACUGAGGUGAUCAGAGUGAAAUAGAACCUGAAACCAUUUGCUUACAAUCAUUCAGAGCACUAUGUAGCAAUACAGUGUGAUGGACUGCCUUUUGCAUAAUGAGCCUGCGAGUUGUGGUGUCUGGCAAGGUUAAGCAAACGCGAAGCCGUAGCGAAAGCGAGUCUGAAUAGGGCGCUUAGUCAGAUGCUGCAGACCCGAAACGAAGUGAUCUAUCCAUGAGCAAGUUGAAGCUAGUGUAAGAACUAGUGGAGGACUGAACCCAUAGGCGUUGAAAAGCCCCGGGAUGACUUGUGGAUAGGGGUGAAAGGCCAAUCAAACUUCGUGAUAGCUGGUUCUCUCCGAAAUAUAUUUAGGUAUAGCGUUGUGUCGUAAUAUAAGGGGGUAGAGCACUGAAUGGGCUAGGGCAUACACCAAUGUACCAAACCCUAUCAAACUCCGAAUACCUUAUAUGUAAUCACAGCAGUCAGGCGGCGAGUGAUAAAAUCCGUCGUCAAGAGGGAAACAACCCAGACUACCAGCUAAGGUCCCUAAGUCUUACUUAAGUGGAAAACGAUGUGAAGUUACUUAAACAACCAGGAGGUUGGCUUAGAAGCAGCCAUCCUUUAAAGAAAGCGUAAUAGCUCACUGGUCUAGUGAUUUUGCGCGGAAA